rnacentral:ncRNA from 1 species
UGAAAAACAUGGAUUAGGAAUAGUAAUGGUUCCUGCCCGUUUUUAGAGAAUUGACGGCUGGUGAAAGUCAAUCGGGUACAUCAUGAACUCGCCUAGGAGUUGCAGGCACGAAAGAAGAGUAAUGUUUGCCGUUUACCGCGUUAAGGAGAAUGAGCGAGUGUUUUCACACUAAUGUGGGUGGUACCGCGGGAAGAUACAUACAAUCCUCUCGUCCCUGUU